GGUGCCCGUACCGCAAACCGACACAGGUAGGUAGGAAGAAGAUUCUAAGGCCAACGGGAGAAGGGUUGUUAAGGAACUCGGCAAAUUGACCCCGUAACUUCGGGAGAAGGGGUGCUCCAGAGAUGGAGCCGCAGAGAAUCGGCCCAAGCAACUGUUUACCAAAAACACAGGUUUGUGCUAAAUCGAAAGAUGACGUAUACGAGCUGACGCCUGCCCGGUGCUGGAAGGUUAAGAGGAGAUGUGCAAGCAUUGAAUCGAAGCCCCAGUGAACGGCGGCCGUAACUAUAACGGUCCUAAGGUAGCGAAAUUCCUUGUCAGGUAAGUUCUGACCCGCAUGAAAGGCGUAAUGAUUUGGGCACUGUCUCAACAGCCCGCCCGGCGAAAUUGUAGUACCGGUGAAGAUGCCGGUUACCCGCGACAAGACGGAAAGACCCCAUGGAGCUUUACUGUAGCCUAAUAUUGGGUUUCGAUGUUGCAUGCACAGGAUAGAUGGGACACUGGGAAGCAAGUGCUUUGGCAUUUGUGGAGUGGCCGUUGGGAUACCAUCCUUGCGAUAUUGGAAUUCUAACCUGCGGCUCUGAAUCGAGUCGGGGGACAUUGUUAGGUGGGCAGUUUGACUGGGGCGGUCGCCUCCUAAAAAGUAACGGAGGCGUUCAAAGGUUCGCUCAGCUUGAACGGAAAUCAAGCAAAAGAGUGCAAACGCAGAAGCGAGCCUAACUGCGAGACUGACGGGUCGAGCAGUAACGAAAGUUGGAGUUAGUGAUCCGGUGGUAUGUGAGUGGAAAUGCCAUCGCUCAACGGAUAAAAGUUACCCUGGGGAUAACAGGCUGAUCUCCCCCAAGAGUCCACAUCGACGGGGAGGUUUGGCACCUCGAUGUCGGCUCAUCGCAUCCUGGGGCUGUAGUCGGUCCCAAGGGUUGGGCUGUUCGCCCAUUAAAGCGGUACGCGAGCUGGGUUCAGAACGUCGUGAGACAGUUCGGUCCCUAUCUGUCGUGGGCGCAGGAUAUUUGAUGGGAGCUGUCCCUAGUACGAGAGGACCGGGACGGACGUACCUCUGGCGCACCAGUUGUUCCGCCAGGAGCAUAGCUGGGCAACUACGUACGGAUCGGAUAAACGCUGAAAGCAUCUAAGCGUGAAGCCGACCCAAAGAUAAGAUGUCCCAUUGUUUUAAACAAGUAAGACCCCUUGAAGACUACAAGGUUGAUAGGCACGAUGUGUAAGUGGAGUGAUCCAUUCAGCAAGCGUGUACUAAUAGGUCGAGGGCUUGACCAC
rnacentral:rRNA from 1 species